rnacentral:misc_RNA from 1 species
GGAAGGAUCAUUCCUAUUAAAAGCAUUUUGCUUUUUUCAACCAGUUGAACGGUUUAAUAUGCUUUUGCAUAUGUAUUCCAUUCUUUUAACCAAGGAACUCUGAAAAAAUAGACUGAUCUUUUGUCAUUUUUAUGACAGACUUAAAAAGAACAACUAUUGGCAACGGAUACCUCGGUUCUCACAACGAUGAAGAACGCAGCGAAACGCGAUAUUUAGUGCGAAUUGCAGAAUUCAGUGAAUCAUCGAAACUUUGAACGCAUGUUGCGCCUUUGGGAUAUUCCUGAAGGCAUGCCUCUUUCAGUGUCGGUUUUUAUACCUAGUCAUUUAUGAUUAGAAAUAUGAGAGUUGGUUUGCAUUCGUAAACCAUCUCUUUAAAUAGAAAGCAGAAUCUGAAUAGAUUUGAAUGGCUUUGCAUCUUUGUUUAAAAGAGUUGGUGAUUCAUUUAUGAAAAGCCUUUGAUUUUAAGCAGUCAGGGAUGUAUGUUGUACUAUUUGUUCGUCAUAGAAUUUGCAAACGGUCAAAGCUUCAUUGCAAUGACAAAACCUAUUUCAAGACCUGAGUGAGGUAAGAUUACCCGCCGAACUUAAGCAUAUUAAUAAGCGGAGGAAAAGAAACUAAAAAGGAUUCCCCUAGUAACGGCGAGUGAAAAGGGAUGAGCCCAUCCUGAAAAUCCAGCAUUCUGUGUUGGAAUUGUGGGAUAUGGAGACAAUAUCAGUAGUAGCGUUGGCUUAAGUGUGUUGGAAUACACCGGCAAAGAGGGUGACACCCCCGUACAGAGCUGACAGACUAUUGCGUACGAUAUGUUUUCCUAGAGUAGGUUUGCUUGAGAGUGCAAACUGAAUUGGGAGGUAAAUUCCUUCUAAGGCUAAAUAUAUGUGAGAGACCGAUAGCGCACAAGUACCGUGAGGGAAAGGUGAAAAGGACUUUGAAAAGAGAGUCAAAAGUACUUGAAAUUGUCAGUAGAUAAGCGAUAGAGACUAGUGCAUAAUUAUGCCAUAUCUCUUGCUUGUAAAGGUAGCCCCGUAGCUCUGUGCUUUACAGUUUUGCGAUGUGAAUUUAUGAGUAAGUUUGUGAGUGUAGUUUGUGUCAGAUAGUAUUUGAUUUGUAGGAAAAGCCCAAGUCUGGGUAGUAUGGCUUGCCAUAUGAUGAGAUUUGGUUGUACUAUGAGUUGGAUAGUAUAUGACGAAAUGGUCUUUAUCGACCCGUCUUGAAACACGGACCAAGGAGUCUAACAUAUAGGCGAGUCAAUGGGUGAUAAACCCUACGGCGUAAUGAAAGUGAAGGAGUCCUUGUGAUUCUGAGGUGUGCGACCUGUAUAUGGUUUCAACACCGCCCGGCAAUUCCAUUAGUGUAUUGUUCGAGGUAGAGCCUACAUGUUAGGACCCGAAAGAUGGUGAACUAUGCCUGAGCAGGGUGAAGCCAGGGGAAACUCUGGUGGAAGCUCGCAGCGAUACUGACGUGCAAAUCGUUCGUCGGACUUGGGUAUAGGGGCGAAAGACUAAUCGAACCGUCUAGUAGCUGGUUCCCUC